CAGCCGCCGCGGGAAUACAGAGGGUGCGAGCGUUAAUCGGAUUUACUGGGCGUAAAGCGUGCGUAGGCGGCUUCUUAAGUCGGAUGUGAAAUCCCUGAGCUUAACUUAGGAAUUGCAUUCGAUACUGGGAAGCUAAAGUAUGGGAGAGGAUGGUAGAAUUCCAGGUGUAGCGGUGAAAUGCGUAGAGAUCUGGAGGAAUACCGAUGGCGAAGGCAGCCAUCUGGCCUAAUACUGACGCUGAGGUACGAAAGCAUGGGGAGCAAACAGGAUUAGAUACCCCUGUAGUCCCUGUCUCUUAUAC
rnacentral:rRNA from 1 species